UCGCGCCUUGCGGCGGCAGUUUCACUAGAGUUCCCAGCAUUACCUGAUGGCAACUAGUGAUAGGGGUUGCGCUCGUUACAGGACUUAACCUAACACCUCACGGCACGAGCUGACGACAGCCAUGCAGCACCUAGUUUUGUGCCAUUGCUGGCUGACAUGUUUCCACAUCAUUCACUAACUUUCAAGCCCUGGUAAGGUUCCUCGCGUAUCAUCGAAUUAAACCACAUGCUCCUCCGCUUGUGCGGGCCCCCGUCAAUUCCUUUGAGUUUCAACCUUGCGGUCGUACUCCCCAGGUGGAUAACUUAAUGCUUUCGCUUAGUCGCUGACUGUGUAUCGCCAACAACGAGUUAUCAUCGUUUAGGGCGUGGACUAC
rnacentral:misc_RNA from 1 species